AUUGAACGCUGGCGGCGGGCCUAACACAUGCAAGUCGAGCGGAUGAAGGGAGCUUGCUCCUGGAUUCAGCGGCGGACGGGUGAGUAAUGCCUAGGAAUCUGCCUGGUAGUGGGGGAUAACGUCCGGAAACGGGCGCUAAUACCGCAUACGUCCUGAUGGAGAAAGUGGGGGAUCUUCGGACCUCACGCUAUCAGAUGAGCCUAGGUCGGAUUAGCUAGUUGGUGGGGUAAAGGCCUACCAAGGCGACGAUCCGUAACUGGUCUGAGAGGAUGAUCAGUCACACUGGAACUGAGACACGGUCCAGACUCCUACGGGAGGCAGCAGUGGGGAAUAUUGGACAAUGGGCGAAAGCCUGAUCCAGCCAUGCCGCGUGUGUGAAGAAGGUCUUCGGAUUGUAAAGCACUUUAAGUUGGGAGGAAGGGCAGUAAGUUAAUACCUUGCUGUUUUGACGUUACCAACAGAAUAAGCACCGGCUAACUUCGUG
rnacentral:rRNA from 1 species